rnacentral:rRNA from 1 species
AGCUCCAAUAGCGUAUAUUAAAGUUGUUGCAGUUAAAAAGCUCGUAGUUGAAAUAUUGAUAUGGCCAACCGGUCUCGUGCUUUGUCGUGAGUACUUGUGUUGUGCCAUAACAUUCUUGGUGAUAACCUGCCUGGCAUUAAGUUGUUGGGUUUGGUGAAAACCAUCGUUUACUGUGAAAAAAUUAGAGUGUUCAAAGCAGACUUAUGUCGUUGAAUACAUUAGCAUGGAAUAAUAAUAUAGGACUUUUGUACUAUUUUGUUGGUUAGGUGCAAAAGUAAUGAUCAACAGGGACAGUUGGGCAUAUUCGUAUUUCGUUGCUAGAGGUGAAAUUCUUGGAUUUCCGAAAGACGAACUACUGCGAAAGCAUUUAUGAAGGAUGUUU